CACUGUGAUGGAAAACUGGAGAUGCUGAACCAGAUUGACCAGAGAAAGAUGUUGCAAAAGACCGUCCACUACUAUCUGGAA
rfam:Punica granatum cultivar Dabenzi scaffold7, whole genome shotgun sequence.